GCAAGUAUUGAACAUCAGCUUCAAAUGCAAUGUGAUCUAAAAGACAACAUAAUAAUGGACAGAUGUUCUCUGGUCGUUAGUACUUGUUUGCCACACACAUGAAGAUAUUGAUCCUGCUUUCAGCUAAAUAUCAGAAAAAUUAAGAACAAAGGAAAGGAUGCUGAAACUGUACAGUCACCGGUCAGGAUUGUUUCAGAAGUGAAAUUAUAAUACAAUAUAUGUUACUGGUUAAUUCCUAUGAUUUGUAAUUUUAAACAACACACAUAGACUUUGCAUUAUUGUUUUACAAGAGAGACACCAAAAGAUGCAGUCAACAUUUAUUAUUUUUAUCAAAAUACACCCAGGACAAAUCAUGGGUACACUUAGCUUGAAAUAUUGUGCUUUCAUACCAAAAUUGCCUGGACGUAAAAGAAAUAAAGAACCAAAAUUCAUGUCAGGAAUCAUGCAGGGGAUAAGAUGAAAGAAUAAAGAAUAAGGCAGGAGUGAAAGGAAGAGAAAAAGUCAUCAGUAAAGAAACAGAUCAAUUUACAUUAACAUGUAAUAAUUCCAUCUGAAUAUAACAAGCAUUGCACAUGUUAUGAAGAUUUAUUCACAUGUUACUAUGAUUUGUAGUUAUAUUUUAUUGUAUGUAUUUGUAAUAUUAUAUAGAACAUGUAUUUUAUUUUAGAACAGUAUUUUUCUUUUUCGUCGAGCCUGCGAUUUUGUCGCAGAAAGCUCGACAUAGGGAUAGUGAUCCGGCGGCGGCGGUGGCAUCGUUAGCUAACUUCUUAAAAGCUUUAUAUUUUAGAAGGUGGAAGACCUGGAUGCUUCAUACUUUGUAUACAGAUGCCUCAUGUUACGAUGUUUCCGUGUGUCACAUUUCCAUUGACCUUGACCUCAUUUUCAUGGUUCAGUGACUACUUGAAAAAAAAGUUAAGAUUUUUUGUAAUGUUAAUUUCUCUCUUAUUAUGAGUAAUAGGUUAACUAUAUUUGGUAUGUGCGUACCUUGCAAGGUCCUCAUGACUGUCAGACAGUUUUCACUUGACCUCGACCUCAUUUCUUGGAUCAGUGAACAAGGUUAAGGUUUGGUGGUCAAGUCCAUAUCAUAGAUACUAUAAGCAAUAGGUCUUGUAUAUUUGGUGUACAGAAGGACUGUAAGGUGUACAUGUCCAACUGGCAGGUGUCAUCUGGCCUUGACCUCAUUUUCAUGGUUCAGUGGUAAGUUAAGUUUUUGUUUUGGUCUGUUUUUCUUAUACUGUUUGCAAUAAGUCUACUAUAUUUGGUGUAUGGAAUGAUUGUAAGGUGUACAUGUCUAGCUGGCAGGUGUCAUCUGACCUUGACUUCAUUUUCAUGGUUCAGGGGUCAAAGUUAAGUUUUUGAGUUGUGGUCUUUUUUUCUAAUACUAUAUGCAAUAAAGGUCAACUAUAUUUGGUGUAUGGAAAUAUUUUAUGAUGUACAUGUCAGUCUCGCAAGUUUUAUUUGACCUUGACCUCAUUUUCACAGUUCAUUGCUCAGUGUUAAGUUUUUGUGUUUUGGUCUGUUUUUCUUAAACUAUAAGCAAUAGGUCAACUAUAUUUGUUGUAUGGAAGAAUUGUAAGCUGUAUAUGUCUGCCUGGCAUGGUGCAUCUGACCUUGACCUCGUUUUCAUGGUUCAUUGGUCAAUGUUUAGUUUUCUUGGUUAAGUCUAUUUCUUAGAAACUAUAAGCAAUAGGUCAACUAUAUUUAGUGUAUUGAAUGAUUGUAAGGUGUACAUGUAUUUCUUGUUUGGUUUAUAUGACCUUGACCUCAUUUUCUUGGUUAAUGUUAAGUUUAUGUGAUAGUGGUAGUAAAGCUUUAUAUUUAGGACUAUCAACAUAACAUCAAUAAUUAGUAAAGAAGGCAAGACAUUUCAGCAUGUGCACUCUUGUUAUAUUUUGUUGUGGAGAACAUCAAAGAAAUUUAGAAAAAUAUAAUUAAAGAUAAAGUUUCUUCCAUGUUUUCUGUGACAAAAACAAAAUUGUGCAAAUUAGGAAAAUGAAAUGAGGCUACAUUAUUGAAUAUUUUUGAGUUUGAGUUUUUUCUUUUUAUUCCUAUUUUAAAAUUUCAUUGGCAUUUGAAGUAAUGAGUUAAAACUAGUUUUUAUCAAUCAUUUUGUUUUCAAGAUGUACAAACAGUACAGUAGGUUAAGGUUUUGUGUACAAUAGUUUACUAUGAUGUUAUGGUCAAAUAAACUUGAAACUUUGUA